UGAGCCCCCACGGCCGCCCCUCUCCGCGCGGCUUCCGGGACAGCAUGGCGGCGGAGCUGUGUGUGAGCAUGACACCGUGUCCAGAAGGGCUGAAAACACUGCCCUGGCUGGGGAGCUGAUGUACCCACAGUGCACCUUCACAAUGGAGGAAGUGGUCCUGCAGAAUCCUGGGGCUGCUGUUGCCCAAAGACAUCUUUGGCCAGAGCACAGCUGCUGUGUUUGGCUUCAGGCUGAUCUAGAAGGAAGAUUGUUCUGCAUGGAUGUCACAAAUGACUGCUGAUACGUCAUGUGAAACGGCCACCUGUGUGUAGCCACAGGCUCCUCCUCACUGCUCAGUGUUGCUGCAGCCACGCCGUGGGUAAGGGACCACUAAAACCAAAAAGGAUUUGGGUACUAGUGCCGUUGGCCUGGCUUGAGAGCAAGGUUUUGUCUCCUGAGACCUGUACUCCAGAUUAAACAGUGCAAAUCAGGAACUUUUUUUUCAGCUGCUCUGAUACUUUGUUUUUUUUCACCAGGACCUGAUCUACAGUUGGCUGGAGGAAAAAUGGUUCCCUGCUUUCUUCUGUUCCAGAAUAAAAUAAGUUGUGGAAAAUCUUGUGAGUCGAAGUUGGGUUUUAUUUGGUUAUUUCUGUAAAGGUUGGAGUCCGUGCUCUUGAAGGUGGUUACUAACUGUAAUGAUUCUGAUUCUUUCUGGACAGAAAUGGUUUUGUGCAGGUAUGAAGGAUUUGGGAUUAAAACCCUUCCUGAAAUGGCUGUUGUGAGCUUACCCUUCAUAGCAAACCGGAUAACACAAAGACUUUGGUGUCUGCAGAUUCUGUCCCAGAAGUAAUUCAUGGGAACAGUGUUACAAAACUAACUCAUGGCUAAGGUCUGGUGCCAGAUGGUUCUUGUGGUAUGCUUGGGAAUACAGCCAUGAAUAAAUCUUUGAAAUGGAGUUGACUCCAGCUCCACCCUUGGCUGGGAAUGUCCCUUUUUGAGAGGGGAAAGGAAGGUGCACGUUGUGGUUGCCACUGUUUAGUUCCUGAUGUGAGCUGCAUGAUUCCAGGCGGGAUUGCAGCACUGUGACAGCACCAUCCUGCUCGUCUUGCCCUGAGUAUCACAGUGCUGCUGAUGUCACCUGAGGCUUGGCCAGAGCUGGUUUGGGGAGGUUUCAGAGAGUCUUGGCCAGGAGAUGUGAGGAUCAGGCUCGUUCGUGUCACGAAAGGUUUUGCUGAGUGUUUGGGAACACAGAACAGGCCUGACAGGCUGCUGUGGUACCAGUGUGGGGUGGCUCUGAUGGGAACAAAGGUUAAUUUGAGACGUGGGAACACAAGAUGGGCCCCAAGCUAGAGAUUACAUCUGGAACAGGCUUGGAGCCUAACCUGCGUCUGUGAACCAGCUGGAAGCAGCCUGCUGGGAGCUUCAGGGGGUUUGGAGGUUCCCUGGCUCAGGGCCAGGGUAUCUUUUGCCAUCUCUGUGCACCAACCUUGUACAGUAAAUAGCAUUCCAAGUGGAAAAGGGCUGUGCUCGGAGC